UUGUACCUCACAUUAGCGGUAUUAAAUUUAAUGCGUGUUAGCAGAAGCGCAUUAACAAAUGUAUAGAUGCACUCACUAUGGAGGAAUCUGAGUAAUCAGUAUUAGACCCUGGGGACAGGGAGUUGGACGUUAGGUCCCAGCUAUCAGAAGACUGACAAGCUGCCCAAAAGACUGUCUUGAGGCUCCAGGAUAGGGUCAGUCUGUUCACGCUUUAUAAGCCCAGGGACUCUGUGGCUUAGUCAUCAGGCAUCAGACUGCUAAAUGCCAAGAUUCUAUCACAAUAACCUGUUAUCAGCCCACACACAUCCAAAUGGUGACAGAUUCUGUUUCUUAGCAGAAGAAAUGAAGACACCAUAAUACCUGCAUUUGAUGGACAGUUCUGUGCUGCUACAGCUUGAGGACACAUGCAUAUAAUUGAGUAUUUGUCUUUGUAUAUUUAUGACAUGGAGUGCAGUAUGAUUCAGCAGGAUGGAAAUGGACAGAUGAAACCGUUACCAUGGAUUCCACUGAACUGUGGUUCUCUGAAUACCUGCUCAUUAUUAAACAGGAAACUGCUCUUCUUGCAUCGGACAAUGCUUUUGCAGGAAAACAAAUCCUGAAGCUCCUUGAAAAUGUUGGAAAUCUCCUGAACAGUGGAUGCAGGCUCUUCAGUGUAAAGAAAAUCCAGCAGUAGCCACUGGGACCAGAACUAUUAGAAGUGGAAUGUCCAUUGAGGAGGAAACCCUGCAACAUGUUCAGGAAGCAGGCAAUCAAACAGGAAAGCAGCAGAGAGAAGAGUGAAGAAACUAGUAAGUUUGCAAAGAAGCAAGGCCUGAGGAAGUGAGAAAUCAAAAAAAGAUAAGAAUGAGAGUUCACAUGAAGCACAAGAGCAGACAGCGAUUUCCUUUCUAGGGGAAAAAAGGAUGAAAUACCAGCAAAUAUUCUGUAGACUAUCAGUGAUGACAAGUAUACAGUGUUAAAAUCUAUCUUGGCUAAGGGGUUUCAGUAAAUAGCAGUGUACAUGCAAUUUUUUGUGGAACAAACUCAUGAUUUUAGCUACAUACUUAACUUAUCCUAGGGUGUUGCUAAAAUAUAUUUUAAGACUUUGGAAAUCCUUUCUGAUCCAACUUCACAGUAUUAAAAGAAAUUUAUUUUGAAAUCCUAUAUUAAUGGUACCUCGCCCAAUUAAAAUUACAUGCAUUUAUGGUACAGAAACAAACAAAUGUUGGAGGGUGUAUGGUAAUUUGGGAGGAUUUUACCAUAUAUGGUGGACAUGUCCCAGAAUCAAAAUGUUCUGGAAGAAGGCUGGAGAGCUGAUGAGGGAAGUAACACUUACAGUGUUACUUAAAGUAACAAUUUAACAUGGAUGCCAGCUAUCAGAUAAUGCUUUAGUGUUCUUAUUGAAUCUUCCUGAGAACCUGAUAAGAAUCGCAAGGAAUUGAUCACUCAUCUUCUAGUGGCUGCAAGAAUUACAAUUGCAAAAAGAAAAGAAAAUCCCUUUUGAGAUGAAUUAUUGAGCAUAGCAAUAUUAGCUAGCAUUUCAGCACCAGGGGCUGAGGUCUUUCUCCACCUCUUCCUUCCUUCAGUAUCCAACACUUAGAUAUUGUCUAUUUGCUCUAUUUCUGAUGCCAUGGGAAGCACAGUAUUUUAAAGUGUUAAAAAGUACACAUAGACUUUCCUAAUAUUGCUCUUCCAUAUAAGCAUUUGUUAUGAUGAUGUUGCCUUAUUGCAAAUAAGAAGGGAGGCGUUCAGAGGCCACUCUCUAUUAAUGUAAUUUAUACUGUGAAAGACUCCGAGACUCUUGAGUUCUUCGAAGAACAAACUUAACUGGGCAGCCCUUGGUUGCCCCUGACUUAAACAUAUCUCUGAGGAAAUGAAGGAUCUGUGAGAACGGAUGGUGGAAAGAGAGUAGAGCGGUUGUUUUUAAACUUCCUAAAGUCACACAGAAGCCUUUCAUAUCACUUCUUCUGCCAUGGAACCCCUACCACUAUCCUGUUAGGGGACAUGGAUCCAGGUGACCCAGCACAACAAUCGUGGCACCCCGCCUCCUGGCCCACUCAACCAUACCCCUGAUCUCUUUGUGGAACCUCUCAUGACCUAUCAGGAAACCCCAAGGUCUGCCCAGAGGGUCUCCCCAGAGUCCCUGUAUCUCCAGAGACUGAUGCUGUUCUCUUUUCCCCUCCUACCCCCUGGAUUCAGCAGCAGAGGAAAGAAGGGGAUGAGAGGUAAAUGCAGCAGAGGAAAGAAGGGGAUGAGAGGUAAAUGUUUCAGUACCAGCCAGGGACAUUUACAGUCAUCGUUCACCAUACUUCAUGGACAACCACUGGGAAUAGGCACUAUAACCCAAUGGCAGAUCCAAAGAAGAUGCAAUGCAGAGCUGCACCCACCUUUGGCCAUAAGCUGCCUGUGCAGUGAAAUCUCAGAGCUCAUCAGCAUUAUCAGUACUCCUUCUGCUCUGCAUGGAUUGGAAGCACUAUAAAUUCACCAGCUAGUCCAUGCAGGGUCCGCCCAGAGUCCUUGUAGCUCCAGAGACUGUUGCUGUUCUCUUUUCCCCUUCCACCCCCUUAAUU